AGCCUGAGAGUUAAAACCAUGCUGCCAGGCUGAUGGGGUCUCACCAGAAAGGUGGCCACUGGCUCUGGUUUCCCAAAGUGUAGACGCCUGAUCUUAGGGCCAGAUGAGUAGGGCCGUGGGGGCUAUUUCCUCCCUCUCCCCUGCUUUCCUCCUGAUGAGGAGGUCUAUAUUCCACAGUCUGAGCAGCUGAGCAACCUGACCUAAGGCCAGUGCUGCCCACCUCCGAGCCCAGGUCACCUCUCCCACUCAUGACUGCAAGCACCAUUUUCCCACGACUGGGAGAAAUAAAAGCUUUCCCUGGAAAAGGGAAGGUAGGUGAGGCCUGUUUUGAAGAUAAAUAUAACAUGCCAGAAACUGCUGGUGUGUUUAGAACCGUGCUAUUUCACAAGCCUCAUGACCUACCACCUUUACGUUGUCUGCUACUAAGAUGAUAGGGAAACAGAAACACAAAGUGGAGAAAGCAAAAAUCAAAGACCAUUCUAAACACAGCCAGGUUAUCAGGGCAUAAGUGGAUAAUGUCCUUACAGGUAUGUUAGAAUAUAUGGUGGUUACACGUGGUUAUACAUAUAUGGGGAGUGCAAAUGUGUGCAUGUAAAAAAGUCUUUGCAUUUGGAGAAACCAAUGCAUAUGUGUUUGUGACCAAUUGGUCCCCGAGUACCGAACAUAGUACCCAAGAUGUAGGACUCAUCACUUUUGUGCCAUCAGAACAAAUCAAAGUGGGUUUAGGGGAAGUAAGGAAGGUGUCUGUGCAUUGUAUGGUGUGUGUAGAGGGUCUGGGGAAUAGGUAUGUCUGGGGUGGGUAGGCAGGUGUGUCUGUGAAGUAACUGUAUAAAUAAUGCGUGGAUUACAGAUUAAGGGAGCAUGUGUGUAGGCAGAUGUGUGCGUGGGGUGAAUGCGGAUGCCCAACCCAGGGUGGAGACCCGGGAAGAUUAAGCCACAGGAGGGCAUCCCGCCAGGCCCUGGGCCUUGCAGUUGGCUAACUCACAGCCUCAAAAACAAAGACUAGCAACAUUUCAUGCCAGUUCCACUUUCAGUGACACCAGGCUCAAGCUUUUCCCACUCCAGGGAAACCUUAAUUUUUUUAGAGGACUAUAAAGGCAAUACAAAAGAAGCAUAAGAGAAACACAAAACGAGAGCAGAAACAUAAAUUUGCCUCUGGUCAAGAGGUAUUCAAAGGGCCAGCCCUGGGCAGAUCCACAUCUGUGUCCCUUCCCUGGGCCCCCGUGGCAUUUCGGUCGCUCCCCGCCAGGUGACCAGGGCCGGGAGAGGACACGGGCCAUCCUGCAGCCGCCGGGGCUCGGUGCCUGGCAGGACGGGCUCCGGCCCGAGUUCCCUGAGAUGAGGGCCUGGGGGUUGCGGCCGCCUUCCCCGGUGCACUCCCUCGCCGGACGGAGCACCUAAGGCCCCGAGCAGGGCGGUUCCGUACUAGGGACGCGAGGGUGGUCAAACCGGGCGCCUGGCCGAGCUUGGCCUCGUCCCUGAAGCCCGGGUCCUCAGGCGCAGACGGCCAUCCCCGACGGGGUCACCUCCCACUCUCGUCUGCCGAGCCCGCAACGCGCAUGCGCCGCCGCUCGUGGCCAGGGCUGUGGGCCUGGCCCCGCCCCCUCCGGCCGCGCGCUCCGGGUCACGCUCCCGGGCUCGCGCCUGCGCAGGCGCGCGGCGGCCCUUCCCGGGAACUUCCGCGCGGAGCCGGCUGAGGUCGCCGAGGUCGCCCCAGUCGAGGCCACCCGCGGGCUGUUCCAACGCCGCAAGCCCAGAGGGUCUGACAGUUUUGAUUUGGGACCGGGAAUCAGUUGUGAUUCACUUCUCUCAAAUGAGGGAAGGAAAGGAGAGAGACUGCUGGCACAGGCCACAUUUCUGGAGGCAUUUGAGGGAAGUGAAGAACGUUGGAGACAAACUGGUGCUGGCAGGUAUUACGUUGUGUGUUCACCCGCGCCAGCCCUCAGGUGAACCAGGAACCGAGCCAUUUUACGAAGUGGUCCUACCUCGCCUAUCUCGCCCGGAGCUCUUAGACGCUGGAAUCCAAACUGCCCUCCCCUCCCGGCCUCUAGGGCAGAACCCCAGCCAGCCUUUGGGCCACUGAGCCCACCCUCGUGAGGGUAACACCGAGGAAUGGAUGUUUCUUGACAACCCAGCCUGAUUAAAUAGUAAAAGGAAAGAAAAGAAAAUCAACUCCAAGUGUUUUGGAGCAGGAGGCUUUUUCCCUCGAGCUGGACCUCCAUUGUGCUAGAAAUGGAAUGCUGGCCUUCGCAUUCUAAAACUUCCAGCUCAGUGACUUCUGCUCUGUACUUGUCCUGUCUUGGCAUUUAAUGUAACUGGAAGAAAGAAUGUGUGCAACUGUAUAAUGUUAGAGCAAUCAGCCAGUAGGAGGAGUGGGCGUAACUUCUGUUCCCGGUGGGAAGCCUGUUCAUAAAGAAGAGAGAAGCCCCUGACAGCUGAAAGCCCCUCUGCCUUGUCCCCAGGCCAUUUUCCCCGUGAACUGGCAAACGCAGUCUGUGCAGCCACCCUGUGUGCACCAGCCUUGCUCCCCGAUGAGAGCUUCUGGUGGGGACGACAUCCACGUGGCAGAAGGCUGUGAGCGGGGCCCUGGGUGAAGCCAGCUGCUGCGGCCGCCUUUCAGACCUCUCUCUGCAGGGAGCUGUUCUUUCCUGACAGCGUCUACCUUCAGAAUCACCUGAGCCUCAGCAGUGCACCAGGUUUUCACUUUGCAGCACCGCACAUUCCAAAUCCCCGUGCAGGGAGGCCUCGCCCAGAUUCCAGAUGAGCGCCUCAGCAGCCCUGGCUCCUCCCGUACACCUUCCCCGGCUUCUGAGUGUUUGUGCCUCGUGACUUUGAGCUGUGGAGGCAUCAGGCAGGGACGUGCCUGUGUUUGCACCUGACAACACCGGUCUGGGAGGAGAGGUAGGUUUCUUCCUCAUCCCAAGCACAUUUUUGCAGCUGUCCUGGUUCUGCCGCCAGAAGCAGUUACAACAGAGGGAGUUCGCCCAUGGGCUUUGGGCCGAGCCUCUUCUGCAAGGGUAGCUCCAGGUGCCCCCCCAAGCUGCCUCACGAACCUUUCAAAGGCUUCCGAGCCUCCUCUUAGCAUGGCCCACCCUGACUGUCCUGCUUAAUUGCUUCACGUCCCCUCUACACUGCAGCCCAGGUGGACUGCUCGACCUCCCACCACAGCCCAACCACUCGGGCUCUGUCUGGGCCGUUUGUCCUUGUGGUGCCUGGCCACUCAUCCUGCUGGCCCCUGUGUGUUAGUGUUCUCCAGAGAAACAGAACCAACAGGGUAUGUAUACAGUAGAUAGAGAAUAGACAGAUAAUUUAGGUGGGUGAUUUAGAUAAACAGAUGCAGAUCUUUCCAUAGAUACCAGUAUCUGUAUCUAUCCCUCCCUCCCUCCCUCCAUCCAUGCAUCCACCCAUCUACAGAGAUUUAUUUUAAGGAACUGGUGUGCAUGAUUGUGGCACCUGGUAAAUCUGAUAUCUUCAGGGCAGGGGGCAGGCUGGACCCCUAGGGAGAGUUGACAUUGAGCCCAAAUGGGCACCUUUCGGUCAAGUGCAGUUAACCCUUUACACCACAGUGCUGGGUGCACCCUCCCCCGCACCUGGUGGGUGCUUGCGGCUUUCUCUGACCCUUCAGCCCAUGCCCUUUCUCUGUUCUCCAUGCCUGCCCUGCAGGCCCCUUUUUCCCUGACCCGCUAAUUCUUCUCCUCCCCUGAUGGUGCUUACUU